rnacentral:piRNA from 1 species
UGCUCAGCUUGCUUUACAACAUCGAUUGAUU